UGGGUUGUAGCUCAGUGGUUGAGCAUUUGCCUGGCAUGCAAGAGGCCCUGGUUUGAUCCCCAGCCCAA
rnacentral:tRNA from 1 species